rnacentral:rRNA from 1 species
GACGAACGCUGGCGGCGUGCUUAACACAUGCAAGUCGAACGGAAAGGCCCUGCUUGCAGGGUACUCGAGUGGCGAACGGGUGAGUAACACGUGGGUGAUCUGCCCUGCACUUCGGGAUAAGCCUGGGAAACUGGGUCUAAUACCGGAUAGGAGCCACUUUUAGCGUGAUGGUUGGAAAGUUUUUUCGGUGUAGGAUGAGCUCGCGGCCUAUCAGCUUGUUGGUGGGGUAAUGGCCUACCAAGGCGGCGACGGGUAGCCGGCCUGAGAGGGUGGACGGCCACAUUGGGCCUGAGGUACGGCCCAGACUCCUACGGGAGGCAGCAGUGGGGAAUAUUGCACAGUGGGCGCAAGCCUGAUGCAGCGACGCCGCGUGGGGGAUGACGGCCUUCGGGUUGUAAACUCCUUUCGCUAGGGACGAAGCUUUUUGUGACGGUACCUAGAUAAGAAGCACCGGCUAACUACGU